GUUGUGAAUAAAAAAUAAUUAAAUAAAACAUAUAUAAGGAUUUAAAAAUAAACAAAUCUGAUGGUUUUCCAACACGGGAACAGGCAACAUACAAUUGACCAUGUGAGAAACAUGGGUUUUCUAGAUUAAUACCACAAACACUUAAUGAUUGCCCCUGGGACUUGUUUAUAGUCAUAGCAAAAGCAAGCCGCACUGGAAACUGUAGUCGUUUAAACUCAAAUGGCACAUCAGUCGGAAUCAUUGGGAUGCGCGGUAUGAGAACAUCUUCUCCUUUAUACUUUCCUUUGAGUAUAGUUGCUUCUAUCACAUUGUUUAGUAAUUUUUUUAUCGCUAACCGUGUACCGUUGCAAAGACGCGGUUGGUUGAUAUUUCGCAACAUUAUAACCACCGAUCCAACCUUUAAUUGAAGAUUGUGAGGUGGCAAUCCUGGCAAAUCCAGCGAGUUUAAAAAUUCCGGUGGAUAGUUGACUACAUCAUCUUGAUUAGUAGCCGAAUCAACUGAUUUAUAUAUCCUCAAUUCGCCUGUAAUUUGUUCUUGAAUUUUGAAAUUUAAUUCAUUUACAUCUAUGUUUUUUGCAGCCAGUAUAGCUCGUUCGCUCAACCAAUCAUGGUUUCUGUAAUUUUGAGAAACAUCUGGAAACACCUUCUGAAUAAGUUCAUCUUUUGAUCGA